UGUCUCACUUCCUCUCCUUCUUGCUUCCUUGUUGAUAAUGAUAACGUCCUUUGCAUUACAUGUGUCAUCUUCAAGAUUUCUCACUCGUCACACCUUUGUAGGGUCCUUUUGAGUCUUGUGUUGGAAAUGUCAAAUUUCCCAUCCAGCUUCCACCCAGAAGUGCUGGUUCUGGAUCCAGGGGAGCAGCAGAGGGCCCUGGUGCCUCUUCCUGCCGGCUGGCUUUCGCUUUUGAAGAGCUUUGAAGAAUAAAGGGAGGGAGGAGGAGGGGAAAUCGAGGGCAAAGGGAAAGAGAAAGAAUGGGAGGGUGGAGAGCUAUACAAAUGUUGACCAGCUCUGGUCAUCAGAAAGCCAUCCAAUAAAACCCACAAUUAACACCAAGACGAGAAACGUUGAUGAAUCAGCCUGCUAUGGACCAAGUAUGUGCUAAACAGUGGCGAUUAAAUGAGGGGCAAAAGACACCUCUAAAGGAUUAUUGGUGAUGAUAAAGACUUAGCUGGUCUGUUCUGAAGGGAUUGGGCCAAUCGUCCGUGGUUGUGGGUUGAAAAUCUGCUAGGUCAUCUAAGCGAGCACUCAAAGUGAAAUGGGUUUUUGGAAGGGGAAAUGGAGUGGUUUUUUCCUCUCACGUCUUCCUGCCCGGGAAUAUUCCUCCGCCCUGAAAAUGCCUGCUUCUCGCCCUCCUUGCUGUCAAGGUUUUGACAAGGCGGUGCGGCCUUGAAAGAAGUCUGUGAGCGGGGAAGCCAGGACGUCGGUGAAGUGCUGGUUCUGGAUCCAGGGGAGCAGCAGAGGGCCCUGGCGCCUCUUCCUGCCGGCUGGCUUUCGCUUUUGAAGAGCUUUGAAGAAGAAAGGGAGGAAGGGGGAGGGGAAAGGGAAAGGGAAAGAGCGGGAGGGUGGAGAGCUAUGCAAAUGUUGAGCAGGCCCGUAGGCAAGGGUUUGUGGGCCGCAGGAAAGUGUUUUCUUGGCGGAAGAAAGUGGCCCAACGUGGCAAAGGUCCGUUUCGUGGCGUGCUUGUGGGCGCCGGUGUGGUCGGGUCAAGGCGCAGGGCUGUCAUCUGUUUUGUCGGGUGUAGGGAGGUAGAGAAGGGCGGCGGAGGCUCGGUGAGCGUUUUAGUAGUGGGCGCGAGUGCAAAAGGGUGCUGUGGAGAAGGGCGAGGGGAGUGAGCGAGCGUGUAGUUAUCGCUUCUCGGCCUUUUGGCUAAGAUCAAGUGUAGUAUCUGUUCUUAUCAGUUUAAUAUCUGAUACGUCCUCUAUCUGAGGACAAUAUAUUAAAUGGAUUUUUGAACUUAGGAGAUGGAAUAGGAGCUUGCUCCGUCCACUCCACGCAUCGACCCAGUAUUGCAGUACUUCUGGGAACGGUGCAUUUCCCUUCGGGGAUUGU